rnacentral:rRNA from 1 species
GACGUAGGGCGCGAGCGUUGUCCGGAUUUAUUGGGCGUAAAGAGCUCGUAGGCGGCUUGUCGCGUCGACUGUGAAAUCCCGCGGCUCAACUGCGGGUCUGCAGUCGAUACGGGCAGGCUAGAGUUCGGUAGGGGAGACUGGAAUUCCUGGUGUAGCGGUGGAAAUGCUGCAGAUAUCAGGAGGAACACCCAGUGGCGAAG